UUUCCGUAGGUGAACCUGCGGAAGGAUCAUUACCGAGUCGCCGACGCGAGCUGUUGCUGGCUUCCAAACCGGGAGCACGUGCACGUUCCGUCUACGCAUCCACUCACACCUGUGCACCCUUUGCGGUUCUGUGGUCUGGGGGACCGCGAGGUCUCCCUUCCGUGGUUCUGCGUCUUUACACACACGCCGUAGCAAAGUCUUUUGGAAUGUGCGCCGCGUUUAACGCAAUAAAAUACAACUUUCAACAACGGAUCUCUUGGCUCUC
rnacentral:misc_RNA from 1 species